rnacentral:rRNA from 1 species
CAGCAGUCGCCGCGGUAAUACGUAGGGUGCAAGCGUUAAUCGGAAUUACUGGGCGUAAAGCGUGCGCAGGCGGUUUUGUAAGACAGAGGUGAAAUCCCCGGGCUCAACCUGGGAACUGCCUUUGUGACUGCAAGGCUAGAUUACGGCAGAGGGGGAUGGAAUUCCGCGUGUAGCAGUGAAAUGCGUAGAUAUGCGGAGGAACACCGAUGGCGAAGGCAAUCCCCUGGGCCUGUACUGACGCUCAUGCACGAAAGCGUGGGGAGCAAACAGGAUUAGAUACCCGAGUAGUCCCUGUCUCUUAUAC